rnacentral:rRNA from 1 species
CUAGCCGUAAACGAUGGAUACUAGGCGUUGAGAGGAUCGACCCUCGCAGUGCCGUAGCUAACGCGUUAAGUAUCCCGCCUGGGGAGUACGCGCGCAAGCGUGAAACUCAAAGGAAUUGACGGGGGCCCGCACAAGCGGUGGAGUAUGUGGUUUAAUUCGAUGCAACGCGAAGAACCUUACCAGGGCUUGACAUGUCCGGAACCCUGCCCAAAGGUGGGGGUGCCUACGAGAGCCGGAACACAGGUGGUGC